UACAGAGGUCCCAAGCGUUGUUCGGAUUCACUGGGCGUAAAGGGUGCGUAGGCGGUCGGGUAAGUCUGACGUGAAAUCUUCAAGCUCAACUUGGAAACUGCGUCGGAUACUAUUCGGCUAGAGGAAUGGAGGGGAGACUGGAAUACUUGGUGUAGCAGUGAAAUGCGUAGAUAUCAAGUGGAACACCAGUGACGAAGGCGAGUCUCUGGACAUUUCCUGACGCUGAGGCACGAAAGCCAGGGGAGCAAACGGG
rnacentral:rRNA from 1 species